rnacentral:piRNA from 1 species
UCUGGGAGCAAGACCUAGAUUUGGGAAC